UAACCUGCCCAAGAGAUCGGGAUAACACCUGGAAACAGAUGCUAAUACCGGAUAACAACAGAUGAUGCCUAUCAACUGUUUAAAGGAUGGUUCUGCUAUCACUCUUGGAUGGACCUGCGGUGCAUUAGCUAGUUGGUAGGGUAACGGCCUACCAAGGCGAUGAUGCAUAGCCGAGUUGAGAGACUGAUCGGCCACAUUGGGACUGAGACACGGCCCAAACUCCUACGGGAGGCAGCAGAA
rnacentral:rRNA from 1 species